rnacentral:lncRNA from 1 species
UGGGGACCAGGCUUCCAGAUGUUACCGCUGCCUUUUGAUGUUAAGGGGGCUCCGGACAACGAAGAGCCGCAAGCAUGAGCCCCCUUCUCCACAGGCCAGACGCGCGUCAGUCACCACCACCUAAGACGCAGGGAAGAAUCUGGAAGAAGCAGAAAUGUUUUCCAAAGAAAACGCACGUCGUGAGCUCCUCUGAGAGUGUGAGCUUCAGGAUUCCACCGUUACGCAUCAGGAUGAAGGAUGAAUAGGUGGACUGUCUGCCUUGACGACGGCGAGCAGAUUCCUGGCGGCCAGCACCGAACACAGCGACCCCCGCGGGCCCCGGGGAGCCGCGGCUUCUACUCAGAGAUCCGACCACUUGCUGUCAUUUGUCACCCUGUUGACUGCAGCAGUAAGGACUCACUCACGCUGCUAUCAUGGUGCCAGGACCACGCCAGGGACUUUCCGAGGAGCUUUGUCCCGUCACAUGAGAAGGCAUUUGCUGUCAGGCUUGGAGCAUUUUCCUCCUUCCCCCAUGACCCCACGCCCUCAGAAGCCAACUCUGGCCAAGUUACUCCUUGGCCUGUGAGAAGCCUGGAGACCCUCUUCAAUCCAAAGGACAUUAGAAAUGGCAUUUUCUGACCCUCCCUGGACCGGGCUCAAGGGAGUGACGUCUUUGCUUCCCGGUCCCCUCGAUGAGCUCCUUGGAGAUGCUAGUCCCGGUGAGUCACGCCUGCUCAGCACUGUCGGGGCUGCCUCCUGGGGGGGCUCCUCCUGCCUAAGCAGGGGGCCAGCCUUGGCAGCCCCUCCACCCCACCUCACACCACCCGAGGGGCAGGGAGGGGGCUGGGAAGGGACAGGACCCUGCCUCUCCUGGCACCAAGUACUUCUCUCAUCCCUGGAAGCGCUUUCCUGCUGAACUUCAGAACGCAGUUAUUUUGAAGUCAAGCCAGGAAAAGCUCUGGAAACAGUGAUGGGAGCUUGUGCUGGAAGCCGAGGACACAAGCCCCAUGCUGACUCUCCAGGCCUUAUUUAUUUCAUGAUCUGGACUAAUUUCUCAGCUGUAAUCGACACCACCCACCACCUAUGAACUUCCCAGAAACGUCCGGCAAGGGAGGGGCGGGACGAGCAGGAAUGCCCGUGGCCGCCAGGCUCCAGGUCCAAUCUGUCACGGCCGGCUCCAUAAUUCAUGUAGACGGCCUCCUCAAAUAAGCGGAACUAUUGGCAGCGAACGGUCGGAGCAAACGUCCCAGUUUUAUUACAGGACGGAGUCUGUUACACGAUCGGGUUGCAGAGUGAGUUGACGUGUGAAGACCCAGCUAGCCUUUACAUUUCGAUAUUUUGCUCAUCCUGGAUUUCUUUGGUAUUAAUUUUGAUCUUUGAAAAAAAAGUAUUGUACUAGGAAACUUAAAUGCGUAUUAGUAAAUGAGAGAAGCCAAUCUGAAAAGGCUUGUGCUGUGAUUCCAACUCAAUGACAUCCCAGAAAAGGCAAAACCAUAGACACAGUGAUGAGAUCAGGGGCUCCCAGGAUUGG